UACGUAGGGGGCGAGCGUUGUCCGGAGUUACUGGGCGUAAAGCGCACGCAGGCGGUUUCGUACGUCUGGAGUGACAGUUCCCGGCUCAACUGGGAAAGGCCUUCGGAAACGGCGAGACUUGAGGGCUUCAGAGGGACACGGAAUUCCGGGUGGAGUGGUGAAAUGCGUAGAGAUCCGGAGGAACACCAAUGGCGAAGGCAGUGUCCUGGGAAGCAUCUGACGCUCAGGUGCGAAAGCAUGGGGAGCGAACAGG
rnacentral:rRNA from 1 species